rnacentral:lncRNA from 1 species
AGGAAAACUCCCAGCUGAUUGUAAGAGUGCUCUGUUGCCAUCACAAAAGACUCUCUUCUUUGGGAGAAAAGCUGAGUUUCCGGUGUGAGAUCAUCAGGUUCAAGAAAAGGAGAAAAAAAUGCUCUUAAAAAAUAACUGAAACAGACAGCAGAGCGGGAACUGGUGAUUGUCUGGCACACAGUCAGAUUGUCAGUCAUGGCAAGGCACGAGCAACACGGGCUUUGCAGCUGCAGGCUGAAAAAAAUCAGUGAGACUAAACAUCUGAAAGGCAAUUAACAUACAAGGUUCUCACCAUGCCUUCUGAUAGCUUUUUCGUCUCUCCUGGAUUGACAAGCAGCUUAUAUAGCAGAUUUAUGACCAGCACAAAGAAAGCAUUCAUGGAUUCUGGUUCAUCACCGAAGUUGUGAAUGCACAGAGCAUUUAACUCUACAUGGCAUGAAGAGCUGCUGAACCUACAGAACAGUACAUUUAGUUUCCGAACUGUUAGCAGAAAAUUCAUACUGCAGAGAAUAUUAUCCACUGUUGCUUCAUCCUCACUGGUAAUGGGCUUAAUCUUCUAAGGUAACAAUAACUGUGUUUCCAUCUGAAGCCUGUCUACUACCUGGACAAGGAACUUAUCCUCGAUGUCUUCUGGAUUGCUUACAGCCUGGUGUGUAGCUUUCCAGCAGACAUCUGGGUGGCUGAAAUCUCCCAUCAAGAUGAGAACAUGCGAGCAUGACACUUGUAGCUGAAGCAGGAAGGAAGGCCUUGUCAAAAGACUCUCUUUGGUCAAUUGGCCUCAAGUAGACCCCAACAACAAGGUGUCCUUUAUUGGUCCUGUCCUUAACUUUUAACCACAAGCUCUCAACCUGUCUGUGGCUCUUUCUGAGGUAGCUCUGCAAUUUAUCUGUUUCUUAACAUAGAGAACAACACCCACACAUCCCCACUCCUGUGCCCCUUCCAGUUGUGUGAUUCAUCCCACUAGGUUUCUGUGAUAGUAAUUAGGUCAUAGUUUUCUAGUUGCAUUGUAGUUUCUAGCUCCUUGUUUCCCAUGCUGCAUGCAUAAGUACAUAGGCACUUCAGUUGGGCUAGCAGCCACAUCAUCUUUUUAGAGGAGCCCUCCCUAAUUCAUUUGGGACAGUUCACAGGCAUUUCUCUGUUGCUUUCGAAGGUAUUGGUGUUCUCUUGUUCUUUUCUGUCACUCAGUGGCACAUCCUCUUCCCCUACUGAAUCUAGUUUAAAGCUCUGCUAAUAAGUCCAGGCAGCUUGCUUUGUCUAAGAGCCUGUGGGAAAGGGGCAACCAUCAAUUUUGAUUUAAAAAUAUCUAACCAUAGUAUUCACAAAAUUAAUAACGAAACAGAGUAGGUUAUUGAAUUACCCUGUAGAAACUACAGAUGCACAUACAUGAAGUUAUAUGGUUUGGAAAAAAAGUGUCCGGUGACAUCAUUCUAACAUAAAGAUUGUGUCUAAGGGUCACUUUAUUUAUAUUCCCACUCUUUCAGUCCAGAUUAUUCUCUUUAAAAGGUGAAAAUACAUCUUUACUGCUA